rnacentral:pre_miRNA from 1 species
AAAUGUAGUAGACUUUAAGUAUACAUGUGGAACUGGGGAGUAUACUAAGUACACUACGUUUA